GUCUACGGCCAUGCCACCCUUAACAAGCCCGAUAUCUGAUCUCGGAAGCUAAGGAGGGUUGGGCCCGGUUAGUACUUGGAUGGGAAAUCACCUAGGAAGACCAGGAAGACCAGGUGCUGUAGGCA
rnacentral:rRNA from 1 species